GGAACAUCUUACAGUGACAUUGCAGUUCUUCUGCACUUUGCUCACCUGCAGCUCCCGCAGGGCCUCGGUGGCCAUGUUGCCGUUUUUGAAGUCGACGAAGUGCACAGAAGCGCUCGUGAAGAACCCGGACGCUCUCUAUCUCAGCGCCCCUGUAACCGUGGGAACAGAAGAGCAUCGUAAACCACAGCAGGGAGGCAUCAGCGGCCACUUACGUUUAACAAAUGAUGCUGCGUUCACUGUUCUAACGGGUCCGACCGGCACAGCUGGAGCCACAGAAGCAGCACCUGAUGUUGAGCAUCGUCCUUACUGAAGAACCCCGUCAGCUGAGUACGGCUCCAGAACCCAGUAGCAGUGCGAGCGGUUCCCGUAGAACCCGAAGGGGCCGCGUGGAGACGUUUAGAACCGGAGUGACCGGAGACGCAGGGUCAGGGGUCAGGGGUCACCUGUGGUCGCAGUAGAUGGCUGCUGUGAACAUGUCCACGUCCUUGGAGGGGGGAGGUGUCACUCUCUCGACGCGACUCGGACGCAGAGAUGUGAUUGGCCAAUGACACCAGCCUACCAGGGCGCUCACUGUGC